rnacentral:sRNA from 2 species
AGAUAAAGGUGGCCUAAGUCCUGCGCCACUCGCAGGACGCGGGGGACCCGAGCUUCACAGGGGCGUAUCGGCGCACCGGCGCCGUAGGACACUUCCGAGUCCGAGCCCGUCAGCUAACCCCGCCGGCGUGUUGGAAGGUCUG